rnacentral:rRNA from 1 species
GAUGAACGCUGGCGGCGUGCCUAAUACAUGCAAGUCGAGCGAACAGACGAGGAGCUUGCUCCUCUGACGUUAGCGGCGGACGGGUGAGUAACACGUGGAUAACCUACCUAUAAGACUGGGAUAACUUCGGGAAACCGGAGCUAAUACCGGAUAAUAUAUUGAACCGCAUGGUUCAAUAGUGAAAGACGGUUUUGCUGUCACUUAUAGAUGGAUCCGCGCCGCAUUAGCUAGUUGGUAAGGUAACGGCUUACCAAGGCGACGAUGCGUAGCCGACCUGAGAGGGAGAUCGGCCACACUGGAACUGAGACACGGUCCAGACUCCUACGGGAGGCAGCAGUAGGGAAUCUUCCGCAAUGGGCGAAAGCCUGACGGAGCAACGCCGCGGGAGUGAUGAAGGUCUUCGGAUCGUAAAACUCUGUUAUUAGGGAAGAACAAAUGUGUAAGUAACUAUGCACGUCUUGACGGUACCUAAUCAGAAAGCCACGGCUAACUACGUG